rnacentral:rRNA from 1 species
UACGUAGGGGGCGAGCGUUGUCCGGAGUUACUGGGCGUAAAGCGCUUGUAGGCGGUCCACCAAGUUUGGGGUGACAGUUGCCGACUUAAUCGGCAAAGUGCCUCAAAGACUGGCGGACUUGAGGGCCACAGAGGGACAUGGAACUCCAGGUGUAGUGGUGAAAUGCGUAGAUAUCUGGAAGAACACCAAAGGCGAAGGCAGUGUCCUGGGUGGUCGCUGACGCUGAGAGGCGAAGC